GGAUGCACACAAUGCAUCCGUAAUGAGAACUAAAGUAAGGCGGAUUUAUGAUAUUGCAAAUGUUUCGUCCUCCAUGAAUCUUAUUGAAAAGACCCACGCAGUAGAUACAAGGAAGCCUGCAUAUAAAUGGUUGGGAUUGAGAGGAAAAGAUGCUACGAGUUCAGCUUCAG